GCCCACCACUUGGGGAUAACCUUGCGAAAGUAAGACUAAUACGCCAAUGAUAUCUCUAGAAAGGCAUCUGAAAGAGAUUAAAGAUUUAUCGGUGAUGGAUGGGGAUGCGUCUGAUUAGCUUGUUGGCGGGUAACGGCCACCAAGGCAACGAUCAGUAGGGGGUUCUGAGAGGAAGGUCCCCCACAUUGGAACUGAGACACGGUCCAAACUCCUACGGGAGGCAGCAGUGAGGAAUAUUGGUCAAUGGGCGAGAGCCUGAACCAGCCAAGUAGCGUGCAGGACGACGGCCCUAUGGGUUGUAAACUGCUUUUAUAAGGGAAUAAAGUGAGUCUCGUGAGACUUUUUGCAUGUACCUUAUGAAUAAGGACCGGCUAAUUCCGUG
rnacentral:rRNA from 1 species